rnacentral:tRNA from 1 species
GGGCUAUAGCUCAGCUGGGAGAGCGCCUGCCUUGCACGCAGGAGGUCUGCGGUUCGAUCCCGCAUAGCUC